GUAUGUUUUCUCAGUUGAAGUGUUAACCUCUUAUGAUUCACACGUCUGUGUUACCUCUGCCUUCGAUACUUUAUCAAUUUUAGAGUCUGAGAGCAGUGUAUUUAUCGUGAUUUAAUUAUUUAGUCUCAGGGUUGAAACUGUAUCAGUGUUAUGGUGGGGCUCUUUGUCAUUCUUUUCAUUUUAAGAAGCAUAUUUUUAAUAGGCAUUCUGAUAUGUGACUUUGAUGACUAUCCUAAAUUUAUUUAGGUUCAUAGAAAUCAAUGUUCCAGUCCAGGCUGGCAAGUUUACAAUGUUUCUAUUGGUAUACUAUUUUUGUUCCGUGUACUUCCCUCUUCUAUGGUAUGCUUACACAUGAUAUGGUCAAAUGGUUUCUAUGUUUGCUGAAUUUGAUGUAGUACUUGCUUUGCAAUAACUUUGUGAGGAUGAGAGGGAGUGAAAAAAUACGAUGGGAACUAGAGUAGGGUAAAAGCAAAUAUAUUCUUUAUCAUGUUGAUGUGUAUGAUCUAUUUUGGCUGUGAACAGGCCAUAAAUUUUAUUGGAUUUCAGGGUUUUCUUGAUGUGUAAAUGAUAUUUUGGUCAUUGGAAAUGUUCAUUACUUGAAUUUAGCCCCUGGUCUCGUCAUGUAUACAUUUUGUCCUUGAAUUAAUCAAACUCAUUUAAAAUUUUGACCGUAUCAGAAAUAGCAAAAAGAGUAAGAAGAAACAAGUUUGAAUAAUUUAAGGACUGGUUCAUAAUAUUGCUUAAAUGAAGGGUCUGAAGUCUAAACUAUUGCCUAGUUAGGAGAUCGAUUUAAUUAUAACUGAUUUUAUAUUUGUGGUACUCUGCUAAACCAAGUGACGCAUGAUGAUGUUUAAUCAUAAUUUUCCCAUGUUCUCUGUUUAGAGUAAAUCACCUUAUUUGCACAAUUUUAACUGUAGAUAGAUUAUAGUUAUGCAGCUGGUGUCUUGCCAAGCAUUCUUGCAUAUGCUGCUGGCAUGUAGUUUGCUAGAAUCUAGUUCCUUUCCUUUUGUUUUCCUUCCCUCCCAUCACCAAAGAAAAAUACGUAUGGGUUUCAAUUAGUAAUGUUGAGAAGAUGCGACUAGAGAUAUGGCCAAAAUAGUCCUUAUAAUGGAUAGAAGAAGAACAACCCUCACCUCUAAGCUAGCUUUUGGGGUAGAGUUAAGCCUAACCCAAAAUAUGUUAUUUGAGCUUAUCCUAGAUCCGUUUAUUGGAUACCAUCCAUAUAUGAGCACCCGCAUAUGUUCAUUCUUGCAAAUCCACACUCCAGAUGUCUAGCCCUAUGUGAGUGGGGGUGUGUUGAGAAGUCUCACAUUGACUUGAAACAUGACCAAAUUAGUCAUUUUUGUAAGAAUUAAUAAUAUAAAACCAUUCAUUUGACCCUUACCCAACAUCUUAAGCUUUUGGGAUAAAUGGUUUCUUGAUAUGGUAUCAGAGCCUCUAUGACCAAACGGUCUAGAGUUUGAUCCUUGCCGCCCCCAAUUCUUUUAAUAAAAAGUUGAAAUUCAGCACAUGGUAGGUGGGCAUGUGCAUUGUCAACGCUUGAAGCCCAAACGGGCUUUUGCGUGAUGGGGCGUGUUAGAAAUAAUAAUAAAAAAUCAUUCAUGUGGCCCUACCCAACAACUUCAGCUUUUGGGAUAAUUGGUUCUUCACAAUUAUAAAAGGUAGAACAACCCUCACCUCUAAGCUAGCUUUUGGGGUAGAGUUAGGCCUAACCUGAAUUCUAAGGAUUACCAUUAGUCAACCUAUACCUAUGUGACCAGGUUUCCCCAUAAAGCUGAUGGUAAGUUUACUAAUUACUUCUAACAGGCUAUGAGAGUUUGACCUUUUCUAUUGCUUUCAACUCCAUGGUGACGAGUCUGAGGAAUAUGGUGGGAAGGUUUUCAUAACUCUGAAAGCAGCUAUUGGGUCUGAGAAACGAGUGAAUGGUUUCCUUGGCUCCGAAAAGAUUUUAAGGAUUAUUUUUAACAUAUUAGCAUGGGCAUAUAUCAGAAGUUCUACUGCUUUGGCAUGGACAUAUUGUCAAAAGUUGUUUGAUAUCAGCUCCUAGGUAUCUGGACUACGUUUUACAGAUGAAAUUCAUUCUGUUCAUAGGAGC
rnacentral:lncRNA from 1 species